AUAGGGGAGCCGAAGGGAAACCGAGUCUUAACUGGGCGUUAAGUUGCAGGGUAUAGACCCGAAACCCGGUGAUCUAGCCAUGGGCAGGUUGAAGGUUGGGUAACACUAACUGGAGGACCGAACCGACUAAUGUUGAAAAAUUAGCGGAUGACCUGUGGCUGGGGGUGAAAGGCCAAUCAAACCGGGAGAUAGCUGGUUCUCCCCGAAAGCUAUUUAGGUAGCGCCUCGUGAAUUCAUCUCCGGGGGUAGAGCACUGUUUCGGCUAGGGGGCCAUCCCGGCUUACCAACCCGAUGCAAACUGCGAAUACCGGAGAAUGUUAUCACGGGAGACACACGGCGGGUGCUAACGUCCGUCGUGAAGAGGGAAACAACCCAGACCGCCAGCUAAGGUCCCAAAGUCAUGGUUAAGUGGGAAACGAUGUGGGAAGGCCCAGACAGCCAGGAUGUUGGCUUAGAAGCAGCCAUCAUUUAAAGAAAGCGUAAUAGCUCACUGGUCGAGUCGGCCUGCGCGGAAGAUGUAACGGGGCUAAACCAUGCACCGAAGCUGCGGCAGCGACACUAUGUGUUGUUGGGUAGGGGAGCGUUCUGUAAGCCGUUGAAGGUGUGCUGUGAGGCAUGCUGGAGGUAUCAGAAGUGCGAAUGCUGACAUAAGUAACGAUAAAGCGGGUGAAAAGCCCGCUCGCCGGAAGACCAAGGGUUCCUGUCCAACGUUAAUCGGGGCAGGGUGAGUCGACCCCUAAGGCGAGGCCGAAAGGCGUAGUCGAUGGGAAACAGGUUAAUAUUCCUGUACUUGGUGUUACUGCGAAGGGGGGACGGAGAAGGCUAUGUCGGCCGGGCGACGGUUGUCCCGGUUUAAGCGUGUAGGUGUGUGCUCCAGGCAAAUCCGGUGCACUUUAACACUGAGGCGUGAUGACGAGGCACUACGGUGCUGAAGUGACAAAUGCCCUGCUUCCAGGAAAAGCCUCUAAGCAUCAGGUAACACGAAAUCGUACCCCAAACCGACACAGGUGGUCAGGUAGAGAAUACCAAGGCGCUUGAGAGAACUCGGGUGAAGGAACUAGGCAAAAUGGUGCCGUAACUUCGGGAGAAGGCACGCUGAUAUGUAGGUGAAGUGAUUUACUCAUGGAGCUGAAAUCAGUCGAAGAUACCAGCUGGCUGCAACUGUUUAUUAAAAACACAGCACUGUGCAAACACGAAAGUGGACGUAUACGGUGUGACGCCUGCCCGGUGCCGGAAGGUUAAUUGAUGGGGUUAUCCCUCGGGAGAAGCUCUUGAUCGAAGCCCCGGUAAACGGCGGCCGUAACUAUAACGGUCCUAAGGUAGCGAAAUUCCUUGUCGGGUAAGUUCCGACCUGCACGAAUGGCGUAAUGAUGGCCAGGCUGUCUCCACCCGAGACUCAGUGAAAUUGAACUCGCUGUGAAGAUGCAGUGUACCCGCGGCAAGACGGAAAGACCCCGUGAACCUUUACUAUAGCUUGACACUGAACACUGGUCCUUGAUGUGUAGGAUAGGUGGGAGGCUUUGAAGUGUGGACGCCAGUCUGCAUGGAGCCGCCCUUGAAAUACCACCCUUUAAUGGCUGGUGUUCUAACGUGGGCCCGUAAUCCGGGUUGCGGACAGUGUCUGGUGGGUAGUUUGACUGGGGCGGUCUCCUCCUAAAGAGUAACGGAGGAGCACGAAGGUCAGCUAAUCCUGGUCGGACAUCAGGAGGUUAGUGCAAUGGCAUAAGCUGGCUUGACUGCGAGCGUGACGGCGCGAGCAGGUGCGAAAGCAGGUCAUAGUGAUCCGGUGGUUCUGAAUGGAAGGGCCAUCGCUCAACGGAUAAAAGGUACUCCGGGGAUAACAGGCUGAUACCGCCCAAGAGUUCAUAUCGACGGCGGUGUUUGGCACCUCGAUGUCGGCUCAUCACAUCCUGGGGCUGAAGUAGGUCCCAAGGGUAUGGCUGUUCGCCAUUUAAAGUGGUACGCGAGCUGGGUUUAGAACGUCGUGAGACAGUUCGGUCCCUAUCUGCCGUGGGCGCUGGAGAACUGAGGGGGGCUGCUCCUAGUACGAGAGGACCGGAGUGGACGCAUCACUGGUGUUCGGGUUGUCAUGCCAAUGGCACUGCCCGGUAGCUAAAUGCGGAAGAGAUAAGUGCUGAAAGCAUCUAAGCACGAAACUUGCCCCGAGAUGAGUUCUCCCUGACUCCUUGAGAGUCCUGAAGGAACGUUGAAGACGACGACGUUGAUAGGCCGGGUGUGUAAGCGCAGCGAUGCGUUGAGCUAACCGGUACUAAUGAACCGUGAGGCUUAACCUU
rnacentral:rRNA from 2 species